rnacentral:rRNA from 1 species
UACGUAGGGGGCUAGCGUUGUCCGGAAUCAUUGGGCGUAAAGCGCGUGUAGGCGGCCCGGUAAGUCCGCUGUGAAAGUCGGGGGCUCAACCCUCGGAUGCCGGUGGAUACUGUCGGGCUUGAGUACGGAAGAGGCGAGUGGAAUUCCUGGUGUAGCGGUGAAAUGCGCAGAUAUCGGGAGGAACACCAGCGGCGAAGGCGGCACUCUGGGCUGGUACUGACGCUGAGGAGCGAAAGCGUGGGUAGCAAACAGG